rnacentral:lncRNA from 1 species
GGAAAAUGAUUGAGCACGAAUACGAGAAGGUAAAAUAACCAGGCGAAGUUGCAUUCAUUAAGCUCGAGUGGGUCAUCGUCCCGGGUCGGGGAAAAGUGGGACGGAUUCGGGUUGUUUAAUGGGUCAAAGGAAGCGGGGAGUUGAGGAAGAAGGGAGGUUGCUGAUGGUCAUCGUCGGAGGAGCUGGUUCCAACCGACGGCGUUC